GCUGCUGAAGAAACUUUCUGGCAGUCUGCUCUGGAACCCUUCCAUGCAGCCGAAUGUAAGAUGAAAGAUUACCCCCAGCACAAAACUCAACCACAAGGAAUAUACAAUUUUCAGCCUGACAGCAGAGGCAGCCAACUUCAAUUUGUCAUAGUACUAUCGUUACAUAAAUGAUUUAUAUAUCAUUUGCAACAGCCUAUACGGCUUUCUUUAUUAAGGGAAUGGUGUAGCUCUAAGACAAAUAUGCCUAAGUACGAACAGAUUUGGACAAUCAAGAAAUCACUUAUUUUAAAUUGUAAUUUGCAUGCAACGGGCAUGCCGCCAGACCAUUUAAUAACAAAAAUGUGUAUGAGGGACAGGAAAAUAGAAAUCCAAAAAGUAUGCUUAAUUCCAACACAUCUUAUCUUACAUAAACUAUUUGCAUCCCCAAUUCAAGGUAUAAAUAAUAAAAUUGAUUAGCUAAAAUCAACCAUUUGCAUUUUCCAAUUCAAGGUAUAAAAUAAGUUAGCUAAAAAUAGUCAGAAAAGAAAAUAAAAGAACCACAAAAAAUAGCAUAGUUUGAACAUUAAGACCAUCCUUUUCUCUAAUAAGCAAUUUGCAUCUCCAUGUCAUGAUAAAAAAUAAUGGUCAUUUAUGGAAUAUCCAAUUGAUAAAAUCAACUUAACCAACAGGCUAAUGAAUUAAUGAAUCUGCAUUCCAAGAUAAAUCUACACUAAAUUAACAACUAUUAUCUCCAAAAUAAUUAAAGAAAAAUCUAAAAAUACAUUUUCAGACCUCCAAGCUGAUUUGAACAAUCAGUUAACAAAUGCAAUUCAGCAAACACUUGACAAGUAUCCAACAGCUUAUCCAAAAAUGAAAUUAAAAAAAUUAAGCAGACAGUUAUGCUCUUACAACAAAUCAAGCAAAAUCAUACGGGACGAUCCUUUAUCAAAGAUAAUUAAAUGGAUAUCCCACAAACAGGCUAAAAAUCAAAACCAAUGAACUAAAUAUAAAUAAAUUACAUUACCCAAAUCAAAGAAACUCAAAUUCAACAAACGCAAGAAAGGCAAUUAAGAAUCUGAAAUUUCCAUUUAAAGGGCUCACCUGGAAAGCGUCAAAAAGGCGAAUUAUGUUGGGGUGAUUGACAGAGGAGAGGAAAUUGAGCUCACAAUCCAAGCAGCUCUUGAGGUGCUUGUUGAGUUUUUCAACAUAAACUUGCUUCACGGCCACCACAUCACCUGAUGACAAGUGCUCCGCUUUCCACACUGUUGAGAGUGAAUUUGAACUCUCUCCAAUUUUUGAUUUUAAUGCAUAGUCUCCCACUGUUUUGUUUUUUGAGAGUUUGUUUUGUUCCAUUUCUGCUCUGGAAACUCAUAAGAGUCCUGUCACAAAAGAUAAAAUAAUGGAAACUCAUCAGGGUAAGGCCGAGUUGCUACCGUGUUCUAAUGCUUUCCCUUUGCGCGAGGUUAUAAAUAGUGCGUGACACGUGUCAUGCGAUGAAAAUUUACGAAAAUAUUAAUUUUAAAUAAUUAGUUAGGGUAAAUUUCACUACAACCCCGAUUAAUGUUCGUAAUCACUAAUGAGUCUCUAUUAGAUUGUAUGUCAUCAAGGCGCGCCAAAACCCUUUUCUUGUCCCGAAUUCAAAUUAGAGCAUCAAUUAGGGGUAUUUUAAAAAAUCAUUCAUUUUUAUUUACUUUUUGAAAAAAUGGUAGAAAUGUACUCAUCAUAUUGGUCAACUGUAGUCAAUCACUAAAAAUAUCAGGUGCUAUAACAGCACCGGUCUUUUUCUUAUCAUUAACUAAUUGAUGCUAAUAGUGAUAAGAAAAAUGAUAUAACUUUUACACUUUAAAAAUUUCUUUCAAUAUUAUGCUAUUUUGUGCACUUAUUUAUUAAAUUUGAGAAUUUAAAUUUUAUUUUGUACACUCAUUAAAAUAUUAAAAAUAUUCUAAUUUAAACCACUUAAAUUAAUUCACUCAAAACAACCAAAAAAAAAAACUAUCAAGCAAAGCCAGAAAAAGAUUUAAAAAUUAAAAAUUUAGCAUAUACUUGCAACAAACAGAUUCAAUUGAAGUUGUAAAGAAAUUUUUUAAACAUAAUUUUUAGUUAUUUAUUUUUGUUUACUAUAGAAUAUGCUUAAUAAUGAUUUUUGCACUCCCAAAUUUUUUAACAUCAAGAAGAAUGAAUUUUGUUUGCCCCCAAUAACAACUGAAAAGAAAUGGCGAUUUAACGGGGGGGAAAAAAAAAGAAGCUAGAUGAUGCUGCUACUGGAUGCAGCAGUUUAUAUGGGCUCAGUUUCAGCUUCCUCCCUAUUUUCCAUUUUUUUUUUCAAAUCAAAAUAAAAAAUUUGACCAUCUUCACAAUAGUUUAUUUCAAUUUAAUGUUUUGAAGAGAAAUGGACACUUAAAUCUCAAGAUUUAAAAAAAUGAUCAUAAAGACCCUCAAUUUUUUAUUGAAAAAUACCAAAACCCCCUUUUGACAAUAAUACCCUUUAAAUUUAGUAAUUAAAAAAUUAACUUUAAAGUUUUGUAACUAAUACAAAUUUAAUAUAAAUAAUAUAGUCUAUCUAGUAGACUAAUAAUAUUAAAUUAUUUUUAACAUUUAAAAUAAUAUUAAAAUAUUAUAUUAUUUUAAUAAUAUAUUUGUAUUUAUUAUAAAGAUUUUAAAUAAUUUUCUGGGUUAAAUUGAUUUUACAAUUAGCAAAAUAUAUCCCUAUUAUAAAUACGAAAUUUAUUAUUUACAUAAUAUUUAAAAUAAUUUUAAUUUUAAUUUAUUUACUAUAGUAUUAUGUUUCUAUUUGUUAUUAAAAUUUACUUUAAUUAUAAUAAAAUAUGUCUAAUAGAUUGUGAAAUAUAAAAAUAUUUUUUAAAUAUUAAAAUGUAUGUAUUAUUAUAUUUAUUUCAAUACCAUAUUUCUGUUUAUUAUAAAAUUUUCAAGUCAAUUUUUUUGGAAUUUAUAAAGUCAAAUGGUAUGAUGGUAAAAAGAAGGGUCUUUGUAUCUCUUACUAAAAACUUAGGGUCUUAAUGGCCAUCUUCCUAAAUCUUAGGGGUGUAGAUGUCAUUUUUCUUAUUUUGAAAAUCAAAAGGGUCUCAUAAAUCUUGUAGUCAAAAUAUUUUAAAAUAUUGAUUUGCUCAUUGUCCAAGUAAGUUUUGUUCAAGAUGCUGGAAAUAAAAUUUUAAUAUUUAAAGCAAAAGAAUUACAGAUUGAAUAAUGAGUGCACUAUAUCAUAAGUAUUCAAAAUAAUUAUAAUAUACAUGACUUAUAAUAAAUUGUUCUUAAUAGUAAUUCACAUGAUGAGUAUUUCUGUAAUAAAUUAUUUUAAUAAAGGAUGGGGCUAUUUAAACCAUAAAAAUACUUUUUGUACCUUUUUUUGUAAAAUUUAAUAUAACAAAAAGAACCAUACAGAAAAUUAUUAUUUAAGACAAAGAUAAGCCUUUUUAACACCCUUCUUCUUCUGCUUCUUCUUCUUCCGUUUCUUUGUCUUCUCCACAUCCAUGUUAUCUUGUAAAUUUAAAUAGUCUGUUUAUCAUUCAUUGCAAUUGCAGCCUUAUAAGAAUAGCAAUGUAAAUGGAAUUAUGGAGACUGACGAAAAUUACCUAUAGUAAUACAAUUUACUUGAUCAUAGAGUUCAACCUUUCUCAUUGUUCUAGUGGAAAAAAAAAAGAAAUCAACAAAUAUUCUAGUAAAGAAAUUAUAAAAAUCAUAUUCAUAAACUAUCCAAAGACAAAAAAAAAAAAAAAAAUCAGAUUUCAUGAAUACUGUUAAAACAAAAAGGCCCACCAAAUAAAUCAAGAUGAUGUUGUCAUUUUUUGGAAAUACAUAUAUAUAUAUAUAACCUAUAUGAUUGUUUAUACCGGAGGUGAUUUCUUUUUAAUGAUUACUGUUUAUAGAAAGGAAUCGUAGGAAAAAAAUAAAUAAAAAGGGGAAUCAUAAGAAUGGAAAAGAAGAUACUAAAACAAAAAAGAUGAAAUUAGAUUUUGAUGAAUAUGGACAAAAUUUUGGAGGUAUAGAAAUAAAAUAUUGAGGUUUUUAAUUAGGGUUAAUUUUGAAUUACAGAAAGUUUAAAGAUGAAAAUUCUUAUUUCAUACUUUUGUUAAUGGAGUGUAUAGAGUAAAUGGGUGUAGAGAGUUAUUACUUAAUUCAAAUAACCCCACCCUUUAAUAAAAUAUAAGUAUUUAGAGUAAUUUUUAAAGUGUAUAUUAAAGCAGUAGAUUAUCAUGUUUUAAAAAAUAGAAAUCGAAAGUAAAAGCAUUGCACAGAUCGAUCGUAACAUGCAUUCAGCGGGAAUAUAAGAUUUUACACUCCGAUAUAAUUUAAUAUUAUUCCAUGAGACUAAAGAUUAAUAACUUUGACUGGAAAUUUAUACAAAUCACGCCCUCCUACCUAUAAAAACCUCCUUAGCAGCACCUAAUUUUGCCACGACAUCUAUUAUUUGCAUUCGCUCGGAUGGAGAUUCCAUUGAGCACAGAACUCCAAUUUUCACUAUAGUAGCCAAGCACUCCUCGAUUUUGGCUCCAUAAUUUCCAGGAUUACUAGAGUUGCUCGCCCUUGGUUUCAAGUCCAACAACAAAGAAGGAUCAACAAUUUCCAUUAAUUUUUCUGGUAGAGACAUCUUGGCAAAUUCAUGGAGAGUCAAACCGUCAUUAAACAUGUUAUCGGUUGGCCGUCUUCUUGUAAACAUCUCUAGCAAUAAGAUUCCAAAGCUGUACACAUCUCCUGUCAUGGACACAUCCCCGCCCAUGCCAUACUCUUGAAAAGGAAAAAGACAUUUCGGAUUCUUUGUGUUAGAUACUAACAAUCAAACAUUAACAUUAUUUAAAAGUACAAAGUGUCAAAUAUGAAUAUAAAUACCUGGGGCUAUAUAACCGACAGUUCCUUUUAUCCCAAUUGAACUUGAUGAAGUUUCAAGAAUUGUACAAGGUGAGCGAUCAGAAAGAAAUCUUGCAAGCCCGAAGUCACCUACAUGGGCGAUCAAGUCAUAAUCAAGUAGAAUAUUGCUUGGCUUUAUAUCACCAUGAACAAUUGGCGGUUGGCAGUGAUGGUGAAGAUAUUCAAUUACAGAAGCCACAUCAAUGACUACGUUCAGUCUUUGAAUGAGAUUUAAGUUGCCUGCUUCAAGUUGAUCAUUGCUCUGGUGCAGCCAAUCCUCCAAACUUCCACAUGGCAAGUAUUCGUAAACAAGAGCCUUGAACUCAAUCCCUUUAAAAUCAAUGCUUGAGCAAACAGUGAUGAUUUUGAUGAGAUUUCGAUGGCGAAUAUUUCUUAAUGCUUCACAUUCAGCAACAAAACUCUUGGUUGCACCCUUUUGCUUAAGAUUCAUUACCUUCACUGCUACUGGCAUUGCAUUUUCACCAAGAUUCCCCUUGUACACGGAGCCAAAGCUUCCCUGACCAAUUAUGUUUGAUGAUGAAAAUUCAUUUGUUGCCUUACUUAGCUCCGCAUAGGAAACCAUCGGAAAUCGUUGUUCCACCCGCAACGUGCUUGAGGAUUUAUGUGCAAGUUUCCUUCUUCGAUUUUCAACAACAGUACGGCAUGUUAAUAAGAUGAGAACUGACCCAAUCACAGGAAGCAGAACCUUGAGAAGAGUGACUGUUGAUUUUCUUGGUCUAGUAGAAUGGCAAGGUGGCAAGUGCAGUUCAUUUAAACCCCCACAAAGCUUCUCAUUCCCAAGUAGAGAAAUAUUAAUUUUACUACUGAAAACUCCUUUUGUUGGUACUUCACCCUCAAAGUGAUUAUAAGACAAGUUUAAGAGUUCCAAGAACAAUAAAUUCUCGAAAUAUUUUGGAAUCUGACCUGACAAAUUAUUGCAUGAGAGAUCUAUCGCUUUAAUGCUUUUCAAAGAAUUCAAAGCAAAAGGAAUGCUACCGCUGAAAGAAUUUUCAUGCAUAUCAAGAUAUUCUAAGCUUGUACAAGAACUUAGAGUAGUAGGAAUUUCACCGGAAAAUUGAUUUCUAGAUACAUACAAGGCACCUAGAUUCUUCAAGUUUCCAACUUCUACGGGAAUAGGACCACCAAGAAGGUUAUCAGACAGAUCUAGGAGAGUUGAAAGGGUCUUUAUGCCGAGGAUUUGUUUUGGCAAGGCACCAGUGAUUCUAUUUUGGGAAAUAGAUAAUUCCAUCAAAUUUUGACAAUUCCCAAGGGAUGAGGGUAUACCGCCUUUCAAGUUGUUGAUUCUUAGCCAAAGACCAGUCAAUAAUGUCAAGUUGCCAAGAGAGUCAGGGAUGGUCCCAGUCAUGUUGUUUGCAGACAAGCUCAUAGCUUGUAGGUUUCUGAGUUCACCAAUGGUAUGAGGAAUAAUGCCAUUUAGUUGGUUAUAAUGCAGAUAAAGGGCAUUCAAUUUGAUAAGAUUUUUCAUUUCAAAAGGUAUGCUGCCAGAUAUUUGGUUGUGUUGCAUGUCAAUACUGGUCACAGUUGUUGAGAGGUUGACUAUCGAAUGUGGUAGCACUCCUCCAAAUCUAUUGGAACCAAUUUCAAGCGCUUCCAAUUUGCUGCAGUUUGUGAGAAGGGUUACAAAAUCAAGAUCACUGAUUGUUCCACCACCUAAAUUAUUGUCUUUCAAAUUGAGCCAAUUUAGAUUCAGGAGACUGCCAAAAUCAAUUCUCACAUUCCCACUGAAAGAAUUAUCAAACAGUUCAAGCCCCUUAAGGUUUGAAACAUUGGACAGUGAAUGUGGGAGAGUACCUGUAAGAUUGUUUUGUCCUACAUUUAGAUAUGCCAGAUUCGGAAGAUUAAAACCUAUGUCAACUGGAAGACUUCCUUCGAAUCUAUUAAACGCUAAAGAAAUCGUCUGAAGGGAAGAGAUGUUAAAAAUUGAAACAGGAAACGUACCAAAGAAGUUAUUUUCCUCUAUGCUGAAGUAGUAUAAAUCUCUUAAUUGACCUAGACAGUCAGGAAAUCUCCCACUCAAUCCAUUCACUCCAAUAUUAAUUACUUGAAGAGCUGAGAGAUUCCCAAUGGAAGGUGGGAACUGGCCUGUUAACUGAUUGUCUGCAAAGGAUAAUACCUCAAGCUUCAACCAGCUGUAACCAAUAUCUACUGGAACUUCUCCCACAAGGUGGUUUCGGCGGACACGGAAAUUGAUGAGGUUAGAGCAACGGGACAAAUUGGUGGGUAUUUUACCAGAAAAAGAAUUAUUUGUCAGCAAUAGAGUUUCAAGCCUGAACAGACGACCAGCUUCAUUGGGAAUUUCACCAUAGAAAUCGUUGUUAGCCAGGUUGAUGACUCUAAGGAAGCUGAGAUUCCCAACAUAAGGCGAUAAGAAACCCCCUAUGCUUUGGUUUCUCAAAUCUAACUCAGUUACUCUUUGGUGUCGAUGACCACAAGUCACGCCUGUCCAUUGGCACAAGUUGAUAGAAUUGUUCCAUGAACUUGUAACACCAAGUGGAUCCUGAAGCUGUGACUUUAUGGCAAGCAAAGCAAGACGAUCUGUCUCGUUUGAAAGGGCGAAACAACUAUCAGAAUUAAGCAAUGAAAACAAGCUAAAGCACCAUACUAAAGUGGCAAGGCAGCUCAUGGAAUUGGAAUUUAGCAUGUUUGAGCGUGAAGCGGGGAACAAGAUACGGCUGCUCAAUGUUGUGCUCAGAAUGUGUGGACGAUUGUUUCAACUUCAUGUGAUGGGUUUUUAAAUCACACAAAAUACAAAAUUUUCUUCAUUGUUUGGUGUGGACCACCUCAACAUCAUGUCAAUUCAUUUAUUUAAAUUUAACACGAGAACACGAGUUGACACUCCUAUUCAUAUUGCCUGUCAAUUUAGCAGUGGUACAGCUAAUUAAUUAAGGAACAACAAAUAAUAAGGCUGCUAACAGUUAGGAGUAUUAAGCCACGAAUCAUGCGACUGCUCGAAUGGGCGGCCAAACACCGCAAACUCAGAACGACAUCGUUUUGGUUUUGCCUAUUCGGGCACCCAUUCGGACAAACGAGAAUUUUCCUUAUGCUAUAAGAAAGUGGCAAGCAGCUCAUGGAAAAGGAAUUUAUCGUGUUCAAACUUUGAGGGUUUUUAUUAGGCUGUGCUCAAAAUGUGUACAUGAUGGAUGCAACUUCAAAAAAAAAAAAAAAAAAAAAAAAACUUCAAGUGAAGGGCUUUUAGAGCAGAUUUUCUUCGUAUCCUGAAUUAAACCGAGUGUCAGUCAAUAAAACGCAGCUGAGUAGUUGAAUGCAUGGUUGUUGGAGUCUUUGGACAUUAAAAACUAUUAAAAUAGUUUUUGGACAUUAAAAACUAUUAAAAUAGUCUUUGGACAUUAAAAACUAUUAAAAUAGUCUUUGGACAUUAAAAACUAUUAAAAUAGUUUUAAUAAUAUUAUGUUUAUUAAUUUGAAAUAUGUAAUUUUUAUGUUUGUUCUAAUAAUUUAUUUUUAGUUAUUUGAAGGAUUUCAAAUAAAUCUUUGGGUUAAAUAGAUUUUAUAACUAAUAAAUAUCUCAUGUAUUAAUAAUAUUAAAAUUACUAUUUUACAUAAUAUUUAAAAGAAUUUAAAUUUUAAUAUAUUUAUUUUAAUAUUAUGUUUUUAUUUAUUAUGAAUUUACUUGAACAUAAUAAAGUAUGUAAAAUAUUAAAAUAAUAAAUAAUAAAUUUAUUUUAAUAUAUAUUAUUAAAUUUAUUUUAAUAAAAUAUUUUUUAUUUUUAUAAUUUUAGAGAUAAUUUUUUGAGUUAAAAAAAUUAAAGAAUAUUAUAUUAAAAUAAUAAAUAAUAAAAUUAUUUUAAUAUAUAUUAUUAAAUUUAUUUUAAUAAAAUAUUUUUAUUUUUAUAAUUUUAGAGAUAAUUUUUUGAGUUAAAAAAAUUAAAGAAUAUUAUAAUUAAAAGAAAAUUUUUUAAUCUUUAUUAAAAAUUUUAGAGUCUUUCUAAUAAGAUCUUUCCAAUUUUAAAGAUAUAGACGUUUGCUAAAAUCUUAAGGAUGGAGACGAUUCUUCUGUUAAUUGUUAUUUAUUAAUCAUCACUAAUCUCGUGAAUUCUACUCAGACGUGACAAAAUCCUGAUCCAAUUAAAUAAGUAAUAAGAAAACAAUGUGGAUGCAACGUUUUUUCUUCAUGCUGUCCUGUAAUGGUGAUGUAAACCAAAGACGCAGUCAGUAAAGGCAGCUGAAUGAUUGAAUGGUGUUGUCGGUGGAGUCUUUUGGAUAUGCAAUAAAGUCCAAUCAAUUUUUUUUUUUUUUCCUUGGAAAGUUCUACUCGAAAGCCAAAUGGUUGAACAUUGACGAUCCAGUAAUUAUGGCCGCGCUAUCCUAAAACAGUUCACAUAUUUUAAAAGAAACAAAUCAGUAAAAUCUCAAUAAAUUAAUGAUAUUGGGAUUAUUGUGUAUAAAAUUUAUUAAUUUAUAGAAUAUGUAUAAAAUUCAAUAAAUGUAUAUUUUAAUCAACUAAAAAAUUAUUAUUUUUUACCGAUCUAAUCAAUUAAAAUGAAUUAAUCUAUUAAGCUUAAAUUAAAUUAAUGAAAAAAUUAAAAUUCUUGCAAUUUCAAAAUUCAACCUUACAACUUUUAGAAGUAAUAAGUAAAAAUAGAGAUGAGAUCUAUCUAUAUUUAAAAUUUUUAAAAAAUAACAAUAGUCAUAUUUUAUUUAAUAAAAUAUCAUAAAAAUGAUAUUUGUAAGUUUAGUAAAUUAUUAAUUUAUGCUAUAAUUGGACAACAGAAUUGCAUAAAGGUUUUUAAAAAAAAUAUUAUUUUAUUAAUUUAUUAAAAUUAUUAAUUUAGGCCGUUGACUUAACUCGGGACUGUAAAAAAUUAUUAUGUAAUAAAGAUUAUUAAUUUAUCGAGUAUCAAAUUAUAAAGAUUUUACUGUAUAUCAUUAUAACUAAAACUAUGUUGCCUAAGAGGGAACGUAAUCCCAAAUUUGUCGACUGUUAGGAUAUCAAUUACUGAAACCCAACAAAUCCUCGAGCAGCCACGUUACAGAUUUCAUUAACCUGUUCUUCCAGUUUUUUGGCUGGUGAACUUUAUGCAAAAUUCUGAGCACAAAUAGAACUAUUAAUAAGUUAAUUGUUGUAACAACUAGAAGCAUAAUUUAUUCAACAAUUGUGCCAUUACUACAACCCAUUAGAAACAAAUAAUUGUUGAAAGAAUAUGUCGGAAAAUUUAUGGAAAAUCGAAAGAAGUCAUUUGUUACUAUAAUAUGGUUAGGUAGGGAAAAUAAUUAUAUGAUAAAUUAAAAUUACGGUAAAUUUAAUAAUAGAGGAAACAUGUGUGACAGCUAGAGAUCACAAUUGUCUGCUAUAAGCCUGGAUUUGACAAUCGUGAAGUGUCCUUGUAAAUACCUAUUUGCACCCACAUGACAACAUCACUGAUCACAUCCAAUUACACUUAAACAAUUCAAGGGAAAAUUAAUAAUUUUCUUCUUGAAAUUUCAUGAUAAAACAAAGAUUUGGUUGGGGAAGGGUGGGGACUUCCUUUUACAAACAUUUACUCUCAAUUCUUGCUCUCAUUUGGACACGAGGGAGAGAAGAAACCAAACAGAUUCUUUCAAUGAGUAACAUAACUCCUUCGAGUAGCUGAAACACACUUUUUAUUUGAUUUUUAUGAAUUAACUCUCAUUCUUUUUAUGAAUUGAAGGAUUUUGUCACGUACGAUUAUGAUUUUUGAGUCAAGGAAUCCAUUGUAAUUGUAUGUUACGAAUUCCAAUACACAACGAGAACCUUAAUAAAUUAAUAGUAUUGAGACCAUAAAAAAUUUAUUAAUUUAAUAAAUAUUAUUAUAUCAAUAAAUUAAUAAUAAUUUAUUAAUAUAAAUUAAUAUAACAAUGGCUACAAGUCGAAAUUAAUUUCAGAAGCAAGCAACAUUGGAAACUUAUUUUCAAAAGUCUUAUAGACAUAUCAUACGUAUUUAGUUUCAAAUUAUUUAAUUAUUAAGUUAUAUAUUAAUUGUAUCCUAUAGCAAAACAAGAUUUUUCUUUGAAAAUUUGUUAUCUAAUAAAUUUAUUAUAUUAUUAAUUUCUUACGUUCAUCCCAAAUUGAGACUAACAAAAAUUAUUAUUUAAUUGAGAUUAUUAAUUUAUCAGGUAUAAAUUAACAAGCUUCUACUGUACUUCAUAUUGAUGAAGUUAUUCUUCUGUCUCAAUUACAAAAUUAGUCGACUCUAUUAUUGCAAGAAACAUAGUUAACCCAAAUAAAAUUGACCGUAAAUUGACCAAUAAAUAAGUAAAUUUUCCUUUGGUGUCAUCUAUUGUCACUUAAAAAGACAAAAGUGCCCUUAAUCUAAAAAUAAAUUAUAACAAUUUGUUCUCACUUUCCUCCACCCUCUCCUCUCCUUUCCUCCGUGCUUAUUGAUUUUUAAAAUUCACAAACUAAAAGCAUCAUAAAAUGGCAGCUGCUAGGUUACAUAUACUGUAACUUAAGGUUGACCGAAAAAUAGUUUCUCACUAUCUUCUACUUAUUUGACAAGCAACGCGAGUCUUUCAAAGUUAUGUUGCAUCUUAUCCAAGGACAAUAAAUAAGAGCAUCAAUUCUCAAAAUAUCUUUAAUUGUUCUUAAAAAAUUAAGCUUCCACUCACAAACCAUGAAUGAAAGCAAUUGUUGUUCUUAAUAGGAUGGUAGCCAAAAAAUUAAGCCCCUCUGGGCAUUUGGCUUCAUAGGAGUAACUUUAAACACCUAAAUAACUACCAUAACAAUUACUUAUUAUCGUGGUCGUCAGUCAUCCAAUCAUUAUGUGUUUUGAGUAAUUAUCUAAUCAUCACAUAAAGUUACAAUUAUGUCACAGAACCUAAAUAUCUUUUACAACAAUUAUUUAGACAUUAUAUGCCACGUCGAUUGAAACUCCAAUGCCAAAUCAGCUUCCAGUGAUAUAGGCGUAUCCAGUUACCCUGUCAGUACACCUUAACUAUCUGUCAUAUUUCUUAUGGAAACCAAAAUUUAUAACCAAAAUCCUACAAGCCGAGCAAUUGAAUGAAUAAUUGACUAAAAAGUAUUAAUUAAUUCUUUUAAUGGAUUCGCUAUCUUUCACGGUAGGCAACUGAUAUUCCAACUCAUGGUCGUUGCUUUGUGCUUCUAUUUUAUGCCAUCUGCGCACAAAAACAAUUUUUCUUAGACUUAGCAUAUAACUUAGGUUUUGGUGAAUGAGGAUGUUGGGGUUAGGAGAAUAUCAAGUCUCUAAUUGCUUUAGUUUCAUUUCAUGGAUGGUUAACUUGAUUAAUGAGAUUUGAUUUAUUACGUAUAUGUGAUUCGACUGGAUUCACAAUUAGAGAAUUAAGAAGAAAUUAUCUAUGUUUGAUGAUGGAGAUAGAGAGACAAAGUGAGAGGGAACAGAGCAGAAGAAAGAGUGGAUAACACCCGAUUCUACUCGACCUACUGUGCCGGCGUCCCACUAAAGCCAUUUAAGUGAAAGCCAUCAGAUUGGAUUGGUAUUAAUCUAAUGGCUGAUUUAGGUACAAGACAAAAAUAUCAGGUUAGUUGCCCUUGGGCAAAGUAGCUGGAACCUUAUAUUAAUAGAUUUUUUUAGGGAAAUUCUCAAUUUCUCUCUACUGUAAUUAAUGUAUACUAUUUAUUUCUUUAUUGUUUUUAUAAUAGUUAAUAAUCUCUUGAUAGCAUAAUUUUAUAAUAUCAUCCCUAUUUUCAAAUACACUUUUAUUUAUAUUUAUUAUAAAUUAAAUAAAUCAUAUGAAUAGAAACUAAAUAAAAAAUUUAAUAAGAAAAAAAUUUUCUUGUACUUUUUUAUUGGUAAACAUUUUCUUAUAAUAAAUAUUUUAAAAUUAAAUGUACAAAGCACAAGAAAAUUUUUUAUUAUUUAUUUUAUAAUAAAUGAAUAAAUAAUUUCUUGUGCUUUUUACAUUUAAUUUUAAAAUAUUUAUUAUAAGAAAAUGUUUAUAAAAUAAAAAAGUACAAGAAAAAUAUUUUAUUAUUAAUUUUUCACAUCAAAAUAUAUAUUUCUUAUUUUUAAUACUUAAUUUUUUAUUUUAAUUUCCAUUCAUGUGAUUUAUUUAAUUUAUAAUAAAUAUGAAUAAAAGGGCAUUUGAAAAUAAAAGUAGUAUUGUGAACCUAUGUUGUCAGGGGUUAUCGGUCAUUAUAAAAACAUAAGGGGUCAAAUGAUAUAUAUUAAUUACAGUAGGGGAAAUUGAGAAUCUCCCUUAUUUUUAUCUAAAAGUAAAGUUAUAUUAUACCUACCUCCCCUAAAAUAAUAAGGAUUCUCUCUCUCUCUCUCUACAGUUCUCAAAUAAUUUUUUUUUUGUAAUUUAGCAAACAAUAAUAUUUCAUGAGUAAGGAGGGGAAAAAAAAUAUUACAAUCACAAUCAUUUCCUAGUUUUUAUCAAUAACUAUUUUUCAGUAAAUUCUUAUUAUAUUAUUUUGAGAUUCUUAUGAAUUGCUAAUUUUUUUUUCAUUUAAGUGCAAUUUGCAUUUUCAUAUUAAAUAUGAAAUUUAUCUAAAUUUUACAUAAAUCUAAUAACUAUGAAUGUAUAUGUUUGUUUUAUUAUUCGCGAAAAGGAAAUCAACAUCUCUAAAAUUUGGAAAAAUAGUCGUGGAGACUCUUGAGGUUUUAAUUAAAGCCAUCAAGAUCUCAUUUGGACCAUAAUAUCCUUUAAUAUAAUAACUAAAAGAUUGAUUUCAAAAUUCUUUUAAUAAAUGCAAAUAUAAUAUAAAUAUUUUAAUCCAUCUAGUACACUAAUAAUAUUACACAUAUUUUUAAUUUUAAAAUAAUUUCAAAAGUGAAACAUUUCUUUUUCUAUUUCACUGGCCUAGCCCCCUUUUUGAUUACUAACUUAUGACAAGCAACCCUCGAAUCAAUUCUGGCAUAUCUUCGUGCGACUAGGAAAAUACAUCUGCAUGAGAUUGUAAGCACUUUACUAGCCCGUCCCUUACUGCCUGGCUUAAACUGGCUGCUGCCGACCCUUCUUGGAGUCCCCCUGACUAUUGAGCGCAGUAACUUGUAAGGUCUCCUUUGCAGCUGUAACAUAACAGCUCCUUGCCAUCCUUUGGUCACCCUUCACUACGCCUACCAUCCCGUUUACUCUAUAUUUCAAUGCCAAGUAAUGAGUGGACAUCACACACUGGCUUACCCUCAUGAAUAGUCGCCCAAAUAUCAUCUGGUAAGGACUAUUUUCUUCCACAACAAUAAAAUCCAACAUCACUGUCUUUUUAGACGACUUUGUAGGGGUGUUCGCAGAUCGGAUUUUACAGAUUAGAUACCAAUCCAUAUCCAAUCCAUGAUUUUGCAUAUUAUAAUUUUUCAAUCCAAUCCAAUCCACGAAUUGAUUAAAUUCAAUCCAAAUCCAAUCCAUAUAUCUGAGGAUCGAAUACGGAUUUGACUCAAUCUAUAUCCAAUCCAUACGUAUGCAGAUCGGAUACUGAUUUAACUCAAUCCAUAUCCAAAUCUAUCAUUUUGCGAAUUGAUUUGCGAAUUAAAAAUUUAGUUAUCUCCAAUCCAUAAACUAAUGAAAUUAAAAAAACAAAAUCUAAUAUAAAAAUAAUUUUACUACUAAUUAAAUUUAAAAUUGAAUAAAAUUUAAACAAACUAAUUGUUUGUUUUAAUAAUACAUUCAAAAUAUAACACAUCGAGAUUAAUUGUUCAAAUAAAACUAUAAUAAUACGUUCAAAGUUUUAAAAUAUAACACACCAAAAUUAAUUGUUCAAAUAAAGUUACAAUAAUACAUUAAUAUAACACCAAAAUUAAUUGUUCAAAUAAAGCCACAAUAAUACAUUGAAAGUCUCAAAAUAAAACACACCAAAAGGAAAAAUGUCCAUCUCUAAUUUGUGUUUCGUACUUUAACCUAAACAAAAUAAACAUAAUUGAUAUAAAUAACAAGUAAAAAAAUUUAUUUAAUAAACAAAUUUAUAAAUAUUUACCCUUAUAUCCCAUCAAAUGCCAUCGAGCUUCAUCAAAUAUGUUCUUGUCAGCUCCUAUAAUCUCUGCACGUAUAAGACAAGAAAAAUGUCAAUUUUUAAAAUAGAAUAACAAUAUAAAGUCAAAUAAUAAUCAAUAAAUAAAAUUAAAGUUAAAUUGUUACAUUUUACCUGUUUCAAUAUGUUCAAUCUCAUCUAUUGCUUCAUCAAGAUUUAUCGGAGUUGAACGUAGCCAAUUUUGUGUGCAAAUUAGUGUCUCCACCGUCCUUGUAGAUAGUGAGCACCAAUGUGGAUCAAGAAAACGCCCACCAAUGCUAAAUGCUGACCCAGAUGCCACAGUGGAAACAAGCAUGACCAAAAUAUCUCGAGCAACAUAAGACAAAAUUGGAUUUGGAAGAAUUAAUCUUCCACCAAUCCAAUACAUCAAAAUUCUAACAAGUAAAGAUCCACUUUUGUUUUGCACUCUACAAAAGUAUCUUUUAAAAUCCUCAUAUAACCCGAAUCAAACACUUGCCUAACCUCAGUAUCAACCUCUAAUUCCUUUUCAUCAUUUACUACAUCCAUUAUUUCCACAUCAUCACCAUAAAGCAAUUUGUAUUCCUCAUAUAAACUAUUUAAAUUAUUCCGCACUUUAACAACCAACUAAUUAACUUUAAAUUCACCAAACAACACUACAAAACAAUAUCUCAAAAACCAUUCUUUAUGUCGUGGAUCAAGCAAAAUAGAAACAAACAAAUAAGGGUUGACUGUUUCAUAAUUUCCUCAAUACUUAUCAUACUUAUUUGUCAUAUUUUCAGCCAUUAUCUUCAAAAAUAAAUCUUUAUUAUCCCUCUAAGCUUGCAAUUGUGUAUGAAUCAAACAUAAUUGGGGCAAAAAAGUAUUGGAUGUCACAUAUAAAGAACCCAAAAAUGUCAAAGUGGCAUCAUGAAAGACCUUCAUGAAUUUAAUGAAAUAAUGAGCAUAUUCCCAAUCAAUUGAAGAAGGACACGUUUUUGGCUUACUCAAACAAAACUCACGAAUGUAUUGUGCAUCAUGAAACUCUAACCGAUCAAAUACUUUUUCAUACUUUUCAGUAGCCUUUAAGAUGAAAAAAGUGGAAUUCCAUCUAGUUAUGACGUCUAGACACUACAACUUAUUUGACGAAAUUUUCUCUCGCUCUGCAUAUGCCUUAAACUUUUGUGUCCUAGAAGGUGAAAAUCUAACAAAUAUUACAACAUUGCGAAUUCUAGAAAUCGACUGAUGAUACUUUUUUAACCCCUCUGCAACAAUGAGAUUUAAUAUAUGUGCACUACACCUCAAAUGCAUAUUUUGACCCCCUAAGAUUGCACCAUUCCAAUUGUUCACAACUUUUGACAAAUAAAAACAGAACUUAAUUAGAUAAAAUGCUCACAAGCUUCUAAACUAGUGGAUUUAUUAGGCGUACCUUCAACAUUACUGGAUGAUUUAGAACUUGGGGGAGCUGAAUCUACAGCUACGCAUUUUCCUUUAUCAAGUUGAGAAGUCAUCUACACCACCAAUAUGAAAAAUCAUUAAAACUAAUUACGAAAAAUAAUAGGAACAAAAUAAGCUUAAAAAGAAAGUAAUAAUUUAAGUUUAAUUAACUCAAUCAGUGAGGUCUUUGCAUAAACACAAAAUUCUUGUUUAAUAAUAGCAAAAAUCAUUAAAAUUAAUUAUGAAAAAUAACAGGAACAAAUUAAGUGAUAAGUAUUGGAAGAAAAAAACACAAGAAAGUUAAACUAGCAUCCACUUCCAGGGGGAAUUCCUCUUUAUUGAAAUCAAAAUGUUAAGAUAAUUUUUCCACACCCGUCUACUUCAAGCCGAUACAUAUAAAUAAUAAAAAGCUAUUGUAUAGCCAGCCUUAUUACACACUCCUACACAAAACAAAGUCUAAACUAUUUCCUUAACAAACUUAAGUUAACAGCCCAUACUUAUCUUGCUUCUGUCUCUAACGAAUUUUAUCCCAACAAUUCAUCCUUUUGUUAUUUUAUUUAGUCAUAUCAUUAAGCUCGAAAAGAAAGUAAGAAUUUAACUUUAAUUAUCUCAAUUGGUGAGGUCUUUGCACAAACACACAAAAACCCAAAAGAGCCACGAGGGUUCGAGGAGUGAGAAGGCUGUGAUGGUGAAAUUUUUUGGCUGGAACCAGUGAUUGUGAAGUGGCUUGAUGGGCUCAGGGAAGAAGAUGGCUUGAUAAUGCCAAAAUCGCGCGGCCGAUGUCCUUCAAAUCGAUGUCUAGAGUGUAUCGAACUGGGUGUUGCUAGUGCGUGUAAUGGCAGGGAAGCAGGAAGCUUAGGGUUUUUUUGUUUGCAAAUUGUUAGUGACCACUGACUUGCGUUAUGCUACUUUACUUUUGGCGUUAUGCUACUUUACUUUUGGGUUAUGUUACCUUUUUUUUUUUUUGACAAUAGCGUUAUGUUACUUUACUUUUGGAUGACUUUGCAAAUUGUUGGUGACUUGAUUACUUUACUUUUUGCUAGUGUAUGUGACUUUGUUUUUAUUUUGUUUUAUAAUUUUUAUAAGUUAUAUUUGUAUAUUUGAUUAUUUAAUUAUUUUUUGUAAUAUAUUUUUAUUAGGUAAUGGCUAAGUUAUGUUAUGGUGCUUAUGUAACUAUGUAAUGUCACAUUUAUAAUAUUUUUAAUUAAAUUUAUAAUAUUUUUAAAAAUAAAUAAAUAAAUAUCUUUUUUUUUGCGGAUUCACAGAAGUAAAUCCAUAUCCAAUCCACCGACUGUGGAUUUUUAAAAUUUCAAUCCAAUCCAAUCCACCAAUCCCAGGAUCAGAUUUUUACGGAUCGAAUGGAUUGAACGGAUCGGAUCGGAUUCUGAACACUCCUAGAUUGUACCAGAGUCGACCUAUCUUCACUCCCUCUUUUAACCCUUUCAACGCCUGAGGGUGAUUGAAGGCUUCCAAUUCAAGUAUGGCCUGGUGGUACCUUUUCACAAAAUCCCUCAGCUAUUCGUGUUCUUCUUGCUUCAUUCCCAUUAACUCCAUCAUAUCGUCCUCUUGGGCUACUGCUCCUCGGAACUGCUCGGCUAACUCUUGACACAUUUGUUCAAAACCCUUUAUACUUUCGCUUGACAACUUGCGGUACCAGUCUUGGGCUCGCCCCUCCAACGUCAGGGGAAAUACUCGGCAUCUCUAUGCUGGCGUUAGCCCCUGAACCACUGUCAUGUUGUUGAAGCGCUCGAUAUGCACUAACGGGUCACUUUUCCUGCAAUACUUGAGGUCGGGGAAACGGAAAUCCCUCGGGAUCAUAGUGCCUAUGAUCUCCGCUGAGAGUGGAGAUUCGUCAUCCAACAUUAUUCUCCAGCUAGGGGGCUUUCUUCUGCCCUGCAUCUUAUCUAUCACAUGUGCCAAUUGUCGCUGAUGAACAUAAUUUAUAUACAUAUUUUACCCUUAAUUAUAUAAUUGCUAGCUAUUUUCAUUUGUUAUUUUUAAUUAAUUAAAUUAUUUUAUUGAAUAGGGGAUUAAUUGGAGAUUAUGGAUAAAAAGGACAUAAACGAACUCAAUUUUGGAAGCAUUAAAGAUUAAUUGAUUUUUUGGAAGGAAUUAGACAUACAUGCAUGUGGAAAUCAAGCCAAGGAACCGAAUUCAACAAGUUAAUUCAUCAUGCACAUGCGGACAAAAGAGAGAAAUUGAUUUUAGCUUUAAGAAGGGACCCCACUUGGCUUUCAUAAAUGGAAAAAAGAAACCUAUUACAAUUUAAAGUGCCCACAUGAGUGAAGCAAAACAAAUAAAAGGCCAAACCCUUUUAGCUUUAGAAUUGACAAGGUGGGGCCCAUUUUACAGGCUAUAUAAGAAAGCUAAGCUUUUGGCUUUUGGGAGAGGAGGGCAGUCGCGUUUUCAUGGCUGAUUUUAUUUCUUUUGUUGCUCCUUAUUCAAGUAUGUCUAACUAAUUUUCUUAUACUGAGGUUAAAGAUGAAACCAUGUUCAAUGAAAUAAUUAUCUUUUUAUUUAUUUAAUUCCCUAUAUAUGUUCUUUAAUGAUUAUGGUUUUUAUUUCACAUGAUUAAUUGGAUGUUAUUAAAAUCUUUUCAUCAAUUCUGUCAUGCAUUAUUGAUUAUUAUGAUUAAUAUUCAAUUAAAUCUAUGAUUGGAUCUAUAAAGUUUAUACAUGAUUAUCUUUGAUUCUAUAUCUUUUAUUAAAUUAUUUACGUAGAGUGCUUAUGGAAACUUUGACUCUUUGUUAUUCAAGAUGUUUACAUGAGAUACUUAGAUGUCAUAUUAUUAAGCAGAAAAAGAACCUACACAAGAUUAAUUUUAAUUGGACUUAAUUGUUAUAUUUAUGAGAUGACAUAAAUUGAUUUCGAGUUGUCACUCUAAAAUUGGGGAUUAAUUAAUGUUUAGAUAAUUACUAAUUGAAUAGUGGUUGAUUCCGAAACCUUGGUAAUUUUUAUCUUAUUGAAUUCUCCUUUAUUUUAAUUGCUUUCUUAGUUGAAUUGGUUUAAUUUUCUUAGAAACUCAAUUUGGUCAACUAGGUUGGAAUUAAUAGUAAUUUUAGAUUUAAAUUAGAUUUUUCAAUUUAUAAAAAUCCCUGUGGGAUCGACCUCGUUACCACUACUCUAUUUCUAGAUUUGUGCGCUUACAAGUAUAUUAAAAUUUUUCACAACAGUCGCACUUCCCCCUCUAAUUCCAAAGCCCGACCAGGAUCACGUGCUGCAACCUGAUCACGCUCCUGUUCAAUGUUGUGCAACCGUAAUCUGAGCUCAUUCUCCUCAACGUUUGCUCCUCGGGUACCACUUCCACAGAUUUGCCCACUGCGGGAUUGAUCUCUCCCCUCAUUCCCAUGCUCUCCCAGAGUCUAGACUGCAUCUCUAUGAGCAUGCGCUCCAUCGGGCUGUCCCCCUAACAGAGGAAUCUCCUCAUUCCCAUGCUUUCGAUAGCUGGGUUCCGCCACAACCUCGUCUCUAAUCGUUGUAGCCUUAUAAUCCUUCAUUCUCUCAUUCCUCAGCUCAUGUAGUAUGGCGGUAAGGGUCUCCAUCUGCUUUUCCAUCCGUUCUUGCAUCACUCUUUCCCUAGCUUCAUUCGCUAUUUCUCAAAGAGUGAUAAUCUCAUUGGUUUCAUUAUCACCCCCCUUGAACGCCACUCCUCGCCAUAUCUAUAAUGACUCGUUCUCCUUUAUGCCACUAGUUGCUACAUUUGUGGUAGUUUUUCGUUCACCUCCCCAUAGACGGCGCCAAAAUAUUGAUGCGGAAAUCUGGUCAUCCUUUGCUAGACCAAAUUGAAUUACCAAUGGUUGUACUGACAAUGACUGGAACACUGCACUCCUAAUGCUUUCCCAAUUGUACGAACCUAGAGACUCAAAUCAAUUUCCCUAUUCCUUCACGACUUGCGCUCAUAGAAACAAAUCAGAGGCACUGGUGGUUUUUUCGGAGAAAACCCUCCGAUGCUUAAGUCAGUACUCAGGGUUUCAGGAAAAAUGUUGUAUUUUAAGACACGUGCAAACUAAUCACAAAUGAAUGAAAGAAAAGUGUUUUAGAAAUAAAUGCUGGAAUCAAAUUGGCAGAGUUUUCCCUUUUUUUUUUUUAUCUAUCCCCCUCCCUUCUAUUUUUUUGACCUUUUAUAAGCAAUCAUCCAGUAUCCCUAGAACAUUUCCCACGCCCGUCAUACUUGGGCGAUCAAGGGUCCUUACGGAUCUCAAUAGUCAAAAGUGGGCGACGUGGGGUGUCGUGUUUUUUUCUAAUGGUUUGGGAUGUGGCGAAACUGUUGCAUUGAUAUGAGAUUGUGCCCUCUUUCUGGGUGACAUAUUUCUAGUCGGUACAUGCCUUUGAUCGGUCAUUAGGUGUACCGCGGAGAAUACUUCCACCAAAAAACUACUCAUAACAUUUGGUUGAGGACUAGGAAAUUGGGACAUGCCCAGCUAGUGCCCUUUUAAUGCCCAAACAAGUAUUGUCUGAAUAUGCGAGUUGAUGGAAAUCUUCUUUUGUACCCCAAAAAUACUAUAGAUGAUAAUAUUGACGUCUAUCAAGCCAAUGAUGCUGACAACCAUCAACAAUUUCAUCUAUAUCUUGAUAAUAAUGCCAGACUGCUGCUUCUUAACAGCAGCACAUCAGAAAUCUGGUCACUGUACUCUGACUCGUCUUUCAAUAAUAAUAGCUCAGUUAUUUACUGUGUAACUCUAGGCCAUGUUGAAUUGGAAGAACCGGAGGAUUUGUGUCAUGUGAAGAACUUUUGCGUUUUGAACAACUAUUGCACAUGGUAUGACAACCAACCCAUGUGUGGUUGUCUUCUUAGAAUGGAUUUUUUAAACAUUAACAAAAUCUCUAGUGGAUGUGCUAGGAACUUCAUUAAAGAAAGAUGCAGAAGUACCAAUCGAAGUGCAGCAUAUAACAUGACUUCUAUAGUUAAUAUAACAUGGGAUGAUUAUCCAUAUUUUAGGAAAUACAUGCUUAAAGAAGAGUGCAGAAAAUCAUGUUUAGAGGACUGUGAAUGUGAUGCUGCUUUGUACGAAUCAGGUUAUUGCAUGAAACACAAGCUUCCACUAAAAUCUGUUCGGACACGUCAAGGAGAGUCAUCCUCAUCCAAAGCUUAUUUCAAGAUGAGCAUAAAAAAAUUCAAAAGCGACGUUAUACUGUCGGAUAGAAUCACUAGCAAAAAGGAAAUAGUACUAGUUCUGGUACUGAUUGUAGGCUUCAUCAUGUGUUCAUGUGUUUUCCUUGCCAUCUUUUUUUUUUUCAUUUACCAGUACCGACUUGUUAAAGAGAAAUGGCCGCUGAAAAUUGGAAACUUUGGCUUGACUAAUGACUUAAUUCCAUGCUCGUUUUCUUAUAAUGAGCUUAAGAAAGCAACCAACAGAUUCAAAGAAGAGUGUGGGCAAAUGCUCUUUUGGAACAGUUUAUAAAGGGACCUUACACAAAGGUGAAAAGUUUGUAGUCGUGAAGAGGCUGGGGUCAAUGGUGACGGAUUGUGAGAGAGAAUUUCGAGCAGAGAUGCAUGUGAUCAGCCUAACUCAUCACAAGAACUUAAUUUGGUUAAUUGGUUACUGCAUUGAGGAUUCCAUGAGGUUACUGGUAUAUGAAUAUAUGAGUAAUGUGUCACGGGAUGAGUUUUUAUUGUGCAGCAACCCGUGCGGCACUUAGGCGACUUCUAGCAUACAAGUCGCUAAGUAAGCCUUUUCGAACUUCUCAACUAGCCAAACAAGAAUGCUUUGUGGAAAAUGCUAGAGAGAAGAGAGCAAUGUGGCUAAAAUAUAUUUUAUUACACACAGAAUAAAUUACAAGAGAGCUUGUAUGUGUGCUUGAGUGUUUGUGUGUGUGGUGGUUGGUGGGCAAAUGAGAGGGCUCACCCCUAUUUAUAGACUUGGGUGCAAGGUUCUUGAAGUUUCCAUGCAACUUGCACAAAUAUUUCCUAAGGGCUAAGUGAAAAAUCCUAGAAAGUUCUAACUAUUUACAAAUUGUAGAGAAGUCUAGAUCUUGGGCCACAGAAGACUUGUUAUAUUGGCGACCCACUUCUAAGCGCAUCCCGCUUCUAAGUGCAUCUCGCCUUUUGUGCUAAGUACAUCCCAGUUUUUAAGCGCACUUCGGUUCGAGGCGGACUUUUGCUAAACAUACCCAUGCACGCAGAAUUAGCCUCCGUUGGUGGCAAAAUUGAGCGGCCCGUGACAAUCCUCUCCCACUUAUGCUCGCAGUGUCCUUAUCGCGUUCUUGUGCUUGUAGUUCUAGAUAUGCUCCACGAAUUGCCAUAGGUCGUCUUUACGUUCCCACGUUGCUUCGCUUUCGGGGGGAUUCCUCAACUUCACUAAGUACUCAUUGUAUGCCGGUAUGCCCCGUCUUCGAAUGACUUGAUCGAAGAUUAUAUAAUCUACGUCCUUGUAAAAUGUUGUGACAACGGCAGUUAGGGUACGUCUUAACUCACCUCGGCUUGGGUCUUCCGCAUCUGCAUGGUAUGGCUUGAACAAACUUACGUGGAAGACCGGAUGGAUCUUGAGUAUCGGCAGAAGUCGAAGUUAGUACGAGACUUUGUCGACAUGUCGCACUACUUCGAAAGGCCCCUCGUAUCGUCUCACUAACCCUUUAUGGACUUUCCACAAAGUCUUGAACUGUUGGGGUAGGAGCUUCACCAUCACUUGGUUGCCUUCUUUGUAUUCGACAUGCGCCUUCGAGAAUCAGCCCAUUUCUUCAUCUUACGGGCAACCUUAUCUGCUUUGCAAUCGGUUGGUGUGGUGAUGAAAGUUGCAUACUUGCUAUAGCGGUCGACCAUGACCAUUAUGCUUCCGCACCCCUCAGACCUGGGUAAGGCCGAAAUGAAAUCCAUGGUGACACUUUCCCAAAGCCUUGAUGCUAUGGGCAGGGGCUCCAACAAUCCUGCCGGAAGUUGGUGAUCCGCUUUGUCUUGUUGGCAAACAAGACAUGUCCGCACAUAGGCCUCGAUGUCAUCUCUCAUGUGCGGUUAAAAAUAUGAAGCUUAGACGAUUGCGGUCGUGCUUUAUACUCCAGGGUGGCCAGCCCAUUUUGAGUCGUGGCACUCCUUGAUCACUUCUCAAUGCAAAUUUCCCCACCUAGGCACAAAGAGUUGAUCUCCUUUGGUGAGGAGGAUGUCUUCUUCUUGCCAAAAUCUCCUUGUCUUGCCCUCGAGAACUUUCCCCAACAAGUCUUUUGCUAUCGGAUCUUAUUGGAGGCCUUCUUUGAUCCGAGAGACAAGGUUGGACUGUGGUUGGCUCAUGCUAAGUGUUGCCAACUCUGCUUUGCGGCUUAGGGCAUUCGCAAUAACGUUGGCUUUUCCAGGCUUGUACUCGAGCCGAUAGUCAAAUUCUGCAAGGAAGUCUUGCCACCUUACUUGCUUGGGGCUCAACUUCUUUUGCGUUUGGAAGUAGCUUGUGGCUACGUUGGCUGUUAAGAUCACAAAGUAUGAGCCAAAUAAGUAGUGUUGCCACACUCGUAGGCAAUGGAUGAUUGCAGUCAUUUUCUUCUCUUGCAUGGUGUAACGACGUUCUGUAUUAUUGAGCUUCUAACUUUCAAACGCUAUUGGGUGGCCUUCUUGCAUAAGGACUACACCAAUGGCGAAGUCAGAGGCAUUCGUGUGAAUUUCUAAUGGCUUCGUGUGGUCCGGAAAAACGAGGACGGGAUCCUCGAAGAUAGCCUUUUUCAACUCUUUGAAUGCAUGCUGGCACUCUUUGGACCAAUGCCAUGUUCUGUUCUUUUUCAACAAGUCGGUCAAGGGUGCCGCUUUGGUCGAGUAUCCCUUGAUGAAGCAGCGAUAGUAAUUCACCAAUCCGAGAAAAGACAGAAAAUUCGAGUACCUUGGUAGGAGGUUCCCACUCGAGGAUGGCCUUCACCUUUGAGUUCUCCAUCAUCAACUUCCCUUUCGUUAUUUGUGGCCAAGGAACUCUACCUCCCAUUGGGCAAACCAACAUUUCUCCAUCUUGAGGUAGAGCUCGUUGUUGCGCAGUACUUGGAGAACUUGCCGCAAGUGUUGGGCGUGCUCCUCGAGUGUGGUGUUAUACACCACUAUUUUAUCCAAGUACACAACGACGAAGCGGUCGAGGAAAGGUUGGAGAACCUUGUUCAUAAGGGUGCAAAACGUGGCCGGUGCAUUGGUGAGGCCAAAAGGCAUGACAAGGAACUCGAAAGAUCUGUAUCUGGUUAUGCACGCCUUUUUUGGCUCAUCUCCCUUGGCGAUGCGCACUUGGUAGUACCCGGACCACUAUUCAAGCUUGGUGAAGUACCGCGCCUUGCCAAGCUGGUCAAACAAAUCCACGAUCAAAGGGAUCAAAUACUUGCUCUUGAUAGUGAUCUUGUUGAGAUCCCGAUAGUCGAUGCACAUCCAAAGUGAUCCGUCUUUCUUCUUUUAGAAGAACACGGGUGCACCGAAUGGAGCCUUUGAUGGGCGGAUGUAGCCCGUAUCUAAUAAGUCUUAGAGGUGUCUUCGUAACUCCUCGAGUUCGGGCGGCGCCAUCCAGUAGGGCGCCAAGGCUGGAGGUUUCACGCCUUGCUCCAAUUCGAUCUCGUGAUCCACUUCACGUCUUGGUAGGAGCUUCUUCGGAAGUUCCGGAGGCAUGACGUCCUUGAAUUCAUUGAGUACUCCUUGGAUUAGAGGAGGGACUUGGCUCGGUGACUCACUACGAUCUUCUCCAUCAUUUAGCUCCCAGAUGGAGACUAAGAAGCUUGGGUCUUUCCGGAAACUCUUUUUGAACUGCAUGGUCGAGAGCGUCUUGUCCGCGAUCUUCGAGCACUCGGCUGGAACCAUGAACGCCAUACUCCCAUCGAGGAUACUUAGGGAGUUUGUGGCCGAUAGCGGGAAGGCAUGGACUUGAUCGAAGAACUCCAUGCCGAGGACCAUCUUGAAGUCAUCCAUGGGUACGAUGGAGAAAUCGAGCUUCCGCUCUACGCUCUGAGUAUUACCCGCACGCCUCUUGCGGUGCCCGCAAUGGGCUUAGCAGGUGAGUUUAUCGCCUUCAAGGUGCCUCAUUCCUUCAUCACCUUGAGGCUUAGGCACUUGGCCUCAUCUUCCGAAAUGAAGUUGUGCGUCGCUCUGGUGUCGAGCAAGGCAUGCACGACUUGUCCAUUAAUAGACACACUCACAUACAUGAGCCCUUUCUUCGUAGGUGCUGGCGAGUGGCUCUUGAGUGCGCCGAGGCGUUGGAGGGUACCCAUGUUGUGUUGGGGUUCCUCCGUCGACGGUGUUGAGUUGCCCUUGAGUUAGGCUGCUAGAGCAUUGGGCGACUUUUUCUCCGGACAGUUGCGGACCCAAUGGGGGCAUUGCUUAUGAAGCAUGGGCUUUGAGGCUUGGGUGGCUGUUGUUUCUCCGAUUUACUUUGCCCGCUCUUGCCGCUUGGAGGCUUUUUCUGCCCCCACUCCUUCCGAUUAUGGCCCUUGUCCUUCCGACCCUCUCCCCCACCUUUACCAUGGCUAGGCCUCUUGUCCUUGGGCUGUGUGGAGUAAUCGGCAAGUGAUUCUGCAAUGGUGAUGGCGUCAUCGAGAGUUUGUACGCCACGCCUGUCAAGUUCCACCUUCGCCCAAUUCUUGAGGCUAUCUUGGAAGUAGAAGAGAGAGUCCUUAUCGGACAUGUCAGAGAUCUCAAGUAUGAGAGUAGUGAAGUCGUUGAUAUAAUUACGGACGCCGCCCGUUUGCUUGAGCCAACAUAGGCGCUCGAGCUUCCUUCUCCGCGUUGCUCGGGGCAAAGUGCUUGUGGAGUUCACGUUGGAACUCGGCCCAUGUAUUGAUGGCACAAAUGCCCUUACCCAUGUCGCCAUGCUUCCGCCGCCGACAUAGUUGUGUGGCGCCUCGUAAGAAUGUAGGCGCAGUGCCUACCUUCGAUGCCUCAUCGCGAACAUCCAUGGCAUCCAUGUAUUGCUCUAGCCCAAAUAGGAAGUUGUCGAAGAUAGUGGCAUUGCGUGCACCAUUGUAGGUGUCCGGCUUUCGCACGUCGAUCCAGCGUGCAUCACUUGUGCUUGCGGAAGCUGGGCUAGGUGUGCGUGUGCGCUUGUGCCAAGCCCAAUCCGAGCAGACUUCGUCAACCUCUGCACUGAUCGCUCGUAGCUCGCUUUGUACGAAGCUAAGUAACUUCUACAGAUCAUCUUUCAAUGCUCGAAACUCCCCUUGGAGUAAGUCGGCUUGGUCUUGCAUGAGGGCCUUGGCGAACUCACCAUACUUGCCCUUGAGACCAUUGACCCUCACCUCCAAAGUAUCGAGGGUGUCCUGGACAGCGGACAUUGAAGUCUUGAGCGUGGCCAUGCGAGGCUCCAAGGUGUCUACGGAAGCGGCCUUGGACUUGCCGCAGGACUUAGCUUGUGCGCGUCCCUCCUCACGGCCACGUGUUUGCUCCGAUACCUCCACACCGACUACGCCCUCUUGUGUUAUGCUAGGAGGAUUGGCCAUUGCUCGUUAAGCUAGUUUGCAUGGGUGCAAACCUUAGCUCUAAUACCACUUGUCACGGGAUGAGUUUUAUUGCGCAGCAACCCACGCAACACUUAGGCGACUUUUAGCAUAUAAGUCGCUAAGUAAGCCUUUCCGAACUUCUCAACUAGCUAAGCAAGAAUGCUUUGUGGAAAAUGCUAGAGAGAAGAGAGCAAUAUGGCCAAAAUAUAUUUUAUUACACACAAAGAAUAAAUUACAAGAGAGCUAGAGAGCUUGUGUGUGUGGUUGUUAGUGGCCCAAUGAGGGGGCUCAUCCCUAUUUAUAGAUCUUGGGCCUUGGUGGGUGAUUUUCUAAGCACACCACGGAAGACUUAAUAUGUUGGCGGCCCACUUCUAAGUGCAUCCCGCCUUUUGUGCUAAGUGCAUCUCGGUUUCUAAGUGCACUCGAAUUCGAGGAGGACUUUUGCUAAACGUACCCGUGCGCGCGAAAUUAACCUCCGUUAGUGGCAAAAUUGAGCGGCCCGUGAGAAAUGGCUCCCUUACAGAUAUCAUAUUUUGUAGCGCUGAAAGAAACCCCUAUUGGAAUCAAAGAGUCAGAAUUGCAUUAGAUGUUGCUAAAGGAAUCCUCUAUCUCCAUGAUGAGUGUGAACCACCUAUCCUUCAUUGUGACAUAAAGCCUCAGAACAUUCUGAUGGAUGAAUUUUGGACUGCGAAAAUCUUAGAUUUUGGACUAGCGAAAUUGUUGGUGCCAGACCAAAUGAGGACUUUGUCAUUGAUAAGAGGGACAAGGGUUACAUGGCGCCGGAAUGUUACAAGAGAACUCCAAUAUCAGUAAAAGCAGAUGUUUAUGGCUAUGGAAUAGUGCUCCUGGAAACUAUUUGCUGCAGGAAAAACAUGGAGAUUGAUGCAUCAAAACCAGAGGAAAUCAUUCUUACCAAUUGGGUUUACAAGUGCUUCAUUAAUAGAGAGUUGAAUAAGCUUGUCCGUGGCACAAAAGUAGACAAGAAGAAUUUGGAGAACUUGGUCAAGGUGGGCCUUUGGUGCGUUCAAGAUGAACCUGCUCUUCGUCCUAUGAAGUGCGCGGUGAUGAUGUUAUAAGGGAUCGCAGACGUUGCGACUCCUCCUUGCCCCACAGCCUCCUUGGGUAAAAUCUUGUAGUGGGUUUUUGCUUCGUUUGUGCUACAUGACUAUGUAGCUCUAUGGCAACAUAUUAAAACAUAUAUAUCACGUUUUGUUCACCUGUCCAGCAAAACUUUGCACGAGUACAAUUACUUUUUCCAUGAUUGGCUAUGGCUGUUUUAAAUUUUAAUGAAAGUAAUUAUAUAGACAGACGUAUUCAUCAACCACAAAAUAUAUAGAGCAACUGAGUAUACAUUACUUUUACAGAGUUAUGAAUACAUUCUGAUAAGAGCAAACACCUAGCCACCACUUAAUUUACAGAGGCAAAAUCUCAAGCCGGUUUUAGGCAACCGUCGCUUUUGGACAGAUUCAAAACGUUAUAAAUAACUUGGGUUGACAUGUAAGAAGCAAGAGGGACUCCUAGAUGGCUAAACCUUGGUGAUGAUGAAUAAAACCAAGGGAAAAAUUCUUUCUUAAUGCACUAGACUGGUAAACAAGUAUUGUAACUGAAUUACACGGAAUUAUGAAUGUUCCCCAAAAGAUACAAUGAAGACAACCUUGACUGAUGUCAAUGUAUAUGAGGUCAACAAUAUCUGCAAUGUAGAAAUAUUAGCAAUCUGAGAAGCAACUGAUAUGCUGAAGCAGGUGUCAAAGGAAAUAUAAUUAAGGAUGCCCAAUUCAAUAUACAAGGGAAGUCAGAGACCCAGGGUUAUGGGAUCUGAAAAGGUGCCCUUAGUAUUGCACUAUUCCUUCUCAGGAAUCUAUGGUGAUAGAAUUCGUUGAAGGACAAACGAUCCACUGCAAUGAAUUGAGAAGACUGUGAGGGAUGACUGCAAUAAACCAGGAGUAAAUAAAAGUAUAAUUAUUUGGUGAAUGCUAAUAUAUAAAGCUAAAAUAUGGAGUAGAUGAUACCUGGAUUUGCAGAAAGUAGCUUUAAGCACAUAUCAACACAAUCUGGAUGCAAAGCAGGGACGAUAAGCUGAGAAAAUGGAAGAUGCUUACAUGAAUUGAUGUUCCUCACCAACUGAAAGAAACAAAACUUAUUAGCUAAGAUUCAAGCUAGCUCACUGUUAGGAAUAUUAAUCUAGGCAAAAAUACGCUACCUGGACAUUAUUCCUACCAGAGAAAGGUGGGUAGCCAUUAAGAAGCUCAAAAAGAAUUGCCCCAACGCUCCACAUAUCAACCUACACAAAAAGUUUUAAAACUUUCAGUACAUUCUGAUGCAUUUUAAUAGCACAGAAUGAUUAUCUAGGGGGAAAUAAAGAAAUUCAGCUUCUCAUCAUAUCUUUGAAAUUGAAGAACUUCAGGAGCCAUGUAUAUUGGGGAUCCACAAACUUUCUCAGCAUAAUGGCCUGGAUGCAGGGUGCUGCUUAAAAUACGAAGCAAACAGUCAAUUUUAAGCUCCAGACUUUUCAAGAAUGAAACUUCUGCAUAAUGUUUACAUUUUAAAACUACAAUAGAAACAAAAGAACAGAAAAAGUCAUCGUUCAAACACACUUCCAGGACAUUGUCAAAAAUAAGAACUAUCCUCACACAAUAUAUUUGUAUCCUUCUACUAAAAGUUUACCAUGAAAGACCAAAAUCUGCUAUCUUGAGCAUCACAUCAUCAUCUAGGCCGAAUAAUAAAAUGUUCUGUUCCACCAAAAGCAACAGCAAAGUCAAUUUAAAAACUUACAAUCUCGAAAACAUACAAUGUUUUAAAAUGAAAACAUAUAAAUUAAAAUGAAGAAAAUUCAUGUGUAGAAACACUGAAAAUUUGGCAGUUUAGUGACAACUAUACAAUCGCUGACGACAUUCAAAGUUCCUUUGAACUUCCCAAAAUAGGAGUACAAAAUAGUAACUCAUCAAACUUUAAGCUUGUUCAAGAUUGUUCAUUUUCUCGAUUUCAUCACUUUCUUGACAAGCACACUAAAGAGCAAACCAUAUAAAGCAACCUCAAUCCUCUAGGGAACUCCAUCCUCUAUGAUUAUCACCAACCAAGACUCUCAUUUAAUUAUUCAUAUUAUACUUCUCAUGGAACAGAGAGAACCAAGUGGCAGCACAAAGAAAGAAGUAGAAGGUUCAGGGAAUGACAAGCAACAGGUUAACAGAAAAACUGCAAGAGCGAACAAGAAUAGAGCCACACUGCGUAAACAACUAAUGGUAAGUAGCAUCUUCCAGGUUCAUAGAAUCAUUUAGAGAAACAAAAUUUUCCAAAUAAGUUAGAAAUUCAAGACAAUAAACCACAACACAUAACUCUGCAUACCUCUGGUUUCAAAUCUCUAUGGAUAAUGUGGUGAGAAUUGAGAAUUUCCAAACCUGCUCCUGCAACAAGGAUUCAGUCACAUUCUUUUAUAUCUUACUUGAAACAGGGAAGUGAUUGGAGCAACAAAAAUUCACACCUAUUGACCAAAGGGCAAGUAAGGUACCAAGCUGCUGAAGAAACUUUCUGGCAGUCUGCUCUGGAACCCUUCCAUGCAGCCGAAUGUAAGAUGAAAGAUUACCCCCAGCAUAAAACUCAACCACAAGGAAUAUACAAUUUUCAGCCUGACAGUGGAGGCAGUCAACUUCAAUUUGUCAAAGUACUAUCGUUACAUAAAUGAUUUAUAUAUCAUUUGCAACAACCUAUACGGCUUUCUUUAUUAAGGGAAUGGUGUAGCUCUAAGACAAAUAUGCCUAAGUACGAACAGAUUUGGGCAAUCAAGAAAUUGCUUAUUUUAACUCGUAAUUUGCAUGCAAUGGGCAUGCCACCAGACCAUUUAAUAACAAAAAUGUAUAUGAGGGACAGGAAAAUAGAAAUCCAAAAAGUAUGCUUAAUUCCAACACAUCUUAUCUUACAUCAAGUAUUUGCAUCCCCAAUUCAAGGUAUAAAUUAUAAAAUUGAUUAGCUAAAUCAAGCAUUUGCAUUUUCCAAUUCAAGGUAUAAAAUAAGUUAGCUAAAAAUCGUCAGAAACGAAAAUAAAAGAACCACGAAAAAAUAACAUAGUUUGAACAUUAAGACCAUCCUUUUUCUCUAAUAAGCAGCUCACAUCUCCAUGUUGUGAUAAAAACAAUGGUCAGUUAUGGAAUAUCCAAUUGAUAAAAUCAGCUUAACCAACACUGAUGAAUUAAAGAAUCUGCAUUCCAAGAUAAAUCUACACUAAAUUAACAACUAUUAUCUCCAAAAUAAUUAAAGAAAAAUCUAAAAAUACAUUUUCAGACCCCCAAGCUAAGUCGAGCAAUCAGUUAACAUAUGCAAUUCAGCAAACACUUGACAAGUAUCCAUCAGCUUAUCCAAAAAUGAAAUUAAAAAAAAAAAAUUAAGCAGACAAUUAUACUCUUACAACAUAUCAAGCAAAAUCAUACGGAACGAUCCUUUAUCAAAGAUAACCAAAUGGAUAUCCCACAACCAGGCUAAAAAUCAAAACCAAUGAACUAAAUAUAAAUAAAUUACAUAACCCAAAGCAAAGAAACUCAAAUUCAACAAACGCAAGAAAGGCAAUUAAGAAUCUUGAAAUUUCCAUUUAAAGGGCUCACCGGGAAAGCGUCAAAAAGGCGAAUUAUGUUGGGGUGAUUGACAGAGGAGAGGGAAUUGAGCUCACAAUCUAAGCAGCUCUUGAGGUGCUUGUUGAGCUUUUCAACAUAAACUUGCUUCACAGCCACCACAUCACCUGAUGACAAGUGCUCCGCUUUCCACACUGUUGAGAGUGAAUUUGAACUCUCUCCAAUUUUUUAUUUUAAUGCAUAGUCUCCCACUGUUU
rnacentral:lncRNA from 1 species